rnacentral:rRNA from 1 species
UGAAUACGAGACGCUACGGCGUCGAAGCAGUCUAUGUCAUACUUCCAAGAAAAGCUCGCAAUGUCAUAAACAAAUAAUGCCUGUACCAUAACCUACACAGGUGGGUAGGUAGAGUAUACUAAGGGGCGCGAGAUAACUCUCUCUAAGGAACUCGGCAAAAUGACUCCGUAACUUCGGGAGAAGGAGUGCCUUAUUUAUAAGGUUGCAAUAACAAGAUCCAAGCAACUGUUUAUCAAAAACACAGGCCUCCGCUAAGUCGUAAGACGAUGUAUGGGGGCUGACGCCUGCCCAGUGCCAGAAGGUUAAAGAAGUUGGUUAGCAUUCGCGAAGCUGAUAGCUGAAGCCCUGGUGAACGGCGGUCGUAACUAUAACGGUCCUAAGGUAGCGAAAUUCCUUGUCGGGUAAGUUCCGACCCGCACGAAAGGCGUAAUGAUUUGGAUACUGUCUCGGAGAGGGGCUCGGUGAAAUAGACUUGUCUGUGAAGAUGCGGACUACCUGCACCUGGACAGAAAGACCCUAUGAAGCUUUACUGUAACUUGAAAUUGAAAUUGGACUUUAUUUGCGCAGCAUAGGUGGGAGGCGUUGAGAGUAUUCUUGCGGGAAUAUUGGAGCCAUCAGUGAGAUACCACUCUUGUAAUGUUAGAUUUCUAACUUUGGAUCAUUAUCUGGUCAAAGAACAGUUUCAGGCGGGCAGUUUGACUGGGGCGGUCGCCUCCCAAAUGGUAACGGAGGCGUACAAAGGUUUCCUCUGAACGGGUAGAAAUCGUAUCUAGAGUGUAAAGGCAUAAGGAAGCUUGACUGUGAGACCUACAAGUCGAGCAGGGACGAAAGUCGGUCUUAGUGAUCUGACGGUGCUGAGUGGAAAGGCCGUCACUCAACGGAUAAAAGUUACUCUAGGAUAACAGGCUGAUCUCCCCCAAGAGUUCACAUCGACGGGGAGGUUUGGCACCUCGAUGUCGGCUCAUCGCAUCCUGGGGCGGUAGUACGUCCCAAGGGUUGGGCUGUUCGCCCAUGAAAGCGGUACGCGAGCUGGGUUCAGAACGUCGUGAGACAGUUCGGUACAUAUCCGGUGUAGGCGUUAGAAUAUUGAGAGGAGCCUUCUUUAGUACGAGAGGACCGAGAAGGACAUACCUCUGGUGUACCAGUUAUCGUGCCAACGGUAACCGCUGGGUAGCUAUGUAUGGAGAGGAUAACCGCUGAAAGCAUCUAAGUGGGAAGCCCACCUCAAGAUAAG